rnacentral:rRNA from 1 species
UACUAGAGUAGCACUCGCAUAUCAAUAAGCGGAGGAAAAGAAACUAACAAGGAUUCCCCUAGUAACGGCGAGUGAAGCGGGAAGAGCUCAAAUUUGAAAUCUUAAAGGGUUUCCCUUUACGAAUUGUAGUUUAAAGAAGUGUUUUCUGUUGAGGUUUUGGUAAAAGUUCUUUGGAAUAGGACAUCAUAGAGGGUGAGAAUCCCGUAUUUGACCUUUACUUUCAACUUUGUGAUACACUUUCAAAGAGUCGGAUUGUUUGGGAAUGCAGUCCAAAAUGGGUGGUAAAUUUCAUCUAAAGCUAAAUAUUGGCGAGAGACCGAUAGCGAACAAGUACCGUGAGGGAAAGAUGAAAAGAACUUUGAAAAGAGAGUUAAACAGUACGUGAAAUUGUCAAAAGGGAAGCGUUUGACACCAGUGUUGUUUUUUCUGAAAAUCAAUUAAAGAACUGUUUAUGCUAAGCUGUUUAGACUUUAUCAGCUAUCUGUUUAGUUUUUAGGCUUUUCUUUAAUGCACUUUUCAGUUAACAAGUCAACAUCAAUUUCUUUUGCUGUAAAAAAAGCUUGAGGAAGGUGGCUUGAGAUUCGUCUUAAGUGUUUAUAGCCUCUUGCCUAUGCAGUCGGAGAGAUUGAGGUCUGCAGCGUAGAUCCUUCGGGGCUAAAUGCAUUUGUGCUAAGUUAUAGCAUUUUAUAGACAACUUGUUGACUAUGAUUUGUCUUGUAGCUUACUCGCUUAUGUUAUUUUACCUACGCUUAGGAUGUUGAGCGCAUGUCUCUCUCU